rnacentral:rRNA from 1 species
UACGUAGGGGGCGAGCGUUGUCCGGAUUUAUUGGGUGUAAAGCGCGCGUAGGCGGCGCGGUAUGUCGUGCGUGAAAUCUCCCGGCUUAACUGGGAGGGGCCGUGCGAAACUGCCGGGCUUGAGGUCAGAAGGGGAAAGUGGAAUUCCGGGUGUAGUGGUGGAAUACGUAGAUAUCCGGAGGAACACCAGCGGCGAAGGCGGCUUUCUGGUCUGAUACUGACGCUGAGGCGCGAAAGCGUGGGGAGCGAUCCGG